GACGAACCGUGCGAACGUUGUUCGGAAUCACUGGGCUUAAAGGGCGCGUAGGCGGACUGCCGCGUCCGGGGUGAAAUCCCACGGCUCAACCGUGGAACGGCCCCGGAUACGGGCGGUCUCGAGGGAGGUAGGGGCAUGCGGAACUACGGGUGGAGCGGUGAAAUGCGUUGAUAUCCGUGGGAACUCCGGUGGCGAAGGCGGCGUGCUGGACCUCACCUGACGCUGAGGCGCGAAAGCCAGGGGAGCAAACGGG
rnacentral:rRNA from 1 species